CCGCCCCAGAGGCUGGGCCUGCGCUGCAGGCGCGUGAGCGGCGCCGGGCCCCGCGGGCUCUGGAGUCUGGCGGAGCGUUUACCUGCGGCGGUCCCACUGCGUGGCCAGCCACUGCGCGCUGGGCACGGGGGUCCGUAUUCUGGCCUGGUCCGGUUGCCUCCAGUGGUGUCGCCAGCCUCGGUCCUGUCUUUGUGGCGCGGAAAGGAGAGAGGCCCCUCCACUGGAGCUUUCUCAGACUCAUCGCCCCGGCCUGAACCGGCACCUCGUGAGAACAGACCCAGCGAGGGUAAAAUGGCCGCCCUUUACGCGGGAGGCUAGAAGUCCCUGGUGGACAGAUCUGGAGUCGAUUUAUUAUGUGUCAAGGAUUUCAGCUUACUUCUCCGUCUUCUUAAAAGAUGCUGUAAUUGACUCAAAUAUGGUGAUGAAAGUAGUGUGAAGAAAGAGAAUAACCCAGAAAAAGUAUUUGAAGAAAAAGAAAUGAUUGAAAAUUCCUCCAAUCUAAUGAAAGAUAUACUACUGAUUCAGGAAGCUAAGCAAACUCAGAUCAAG
ensembl:lncRNA